GCACUCUGACACAAGCACCGCAACUGAUGCUUUGCAUCCUAGUCCUGCUGGCACUUCUCUCUCUCUCUCUCUCUCGCAGCAGCAGUGGUUCAAAAUGCCGUUAUCCAGUGCUGCAAUUGCUUCCAACAUUUCGAUCAAUUUCCCUUCUCUUCCAACUCCAAAGAUUGUUAAAUGUAGAAGCUUUCCAAUCAAUAAUAAUGGGAAUAUCGGUCAUCAAAGAGCCGCUGCAUUCAUGGUGUCCAGAAGCCUCACUUUCGCGACGAAGUCACUUUCUGGGGAUCGCAAUGCCUCAGUCGACGUUGAUGUGCCAUUCCCUAGUGAUUAUCCUGAGCUUCUUGACCAAGCCAGGAAAGCAACUGAAUUGGCUUUGAAGGAUAACAGACAGUUGAUGGAGAUUGAAUUCCCAACAGCUGGACUUCAAUCUGUACCAGGUGAUGGUGAAGGAGGAAUAGAAAUGACCGGAAGCAUGCAAUUAAUUCGGGAAUUUUGUGAUGGCUUCAUAAAUCCGGAGAAAGCCACAAGGACCAGAAUAUUUUUCCCAGAGGCCAAUGAAGUUACAUUUGCAAGGGAGUCAACCUUUGGAGGAACCUCCUUUAAGUUGGACUAUUUGACAAAGCCCUCAUUUUUUGAGGAUUUUGGUUUCUUUGAAAAGGUGAAAAUGGCAGAUCGUGUGAAGCUAGAGGAUGAAUUGUUCUUGGUCGCCUAUCCGUAUUUUAAUGUCAAUGAAAUGCUUGUGGUAGAAGAGCUUUACAAAGAAGCUGUCGAGAACACUGCCAGAAAGCUGAUUAUUUUCAAUGGGGAACUUGACCGUAUAAGAUCUGGGUAUUAUCCAUCAUUCUUCUACCCGAAGCUGGCUAAACUUUCCACGACCCUCUUUCCUAAGAUGGAGACUGUAUAUUACAUUCACAAUUUUAAGGGACGCAAUGGAGGAACCCUUUUCAGGUGCUACCCUGGCCCCUGGAGAGUCCUUAGAAACGUGCGGAACAAAUAUGUAUGUCUGCAUCAGCAGGAGAACAUGCCUUCCCUCAAGGAAGUUGCGUUGGACAUUCUAACGUCAGCUUGACAUGUCUGUGCUGUAGGAUGAAAUCUUUCAGAAUAUUUGUCACUGGGAUUAAUGAUCAAUGCAGGGAUCCAUGGGUUUCAAAGCAUAAUUUUGUUGGAACAAUCUACUGCCAAUUUGAAAUAACCUCCGGUUUGAGAGGCUUGGAAGUGCUCAUCUUAGAUGUACAGCUGGGUGUUACCUGAAAGGACCAAAUCUCCUUCAGGAUGCAUCAUUCUUCCGUUUAGUAUGUAUGAGAAAGUACAGGUAGAAAAUCUACCAGGAAGGAAAAGCUGGUAUUGCUUAGUGAGUUUGAAUGUAUAUACAUACAUUACUGGUUCUUGGAUAUUAAUAUAUGAAGAACGGGUAUAGCAUAUCA